GUCACGUUAACUGGCAAACUUGUUACCACAAACCCGAUGAUCUCUUUCUGAAUGAGGAGGGAAAUACUGGACCUGAGUUAUCAGAAGCCAGAAUAUCCUUCUUUCCAGCCAUUCUUAUUUUAUGUAUUUCGAAGAAUAAAUAAAAUUGCAGUUACAUAUUCAUAGACUAUAUCAGACAGGACUAAUUCAACUUUGCCUGGGAUCUCUAUUAUGUCAAAGUUUCUUGUGAUCGGUUUAGAUCCUCAACAGCCAUGUGGCAGGAGGACCACUCAGAAGCUCAUGGACAAGCUAGUCUGUAGCAAAGAUGCAGAAAGAAGAUAGACUGUCUCAAAUUGGAAGUCAAGAACUAAUUCCUGAAACUGUCAUCAGACCUUCACACUUUCUGUGGAACACAUGCCUUCAUAUCCUUUCAAUGUAGCUGUGUGCAAACAUAUUUCCUCAUACUGAGUAUAAAUGCACUGUUUUUCUUUAUAUUCAUUCUUUUCUCAUACAUUAAGGUCAGUGCCAUAGUUACAACCUGAAAUUUUUUCUAAAUAAAAACCCUGCCUAUAUCGACAUAAUGAAAUAACUGACAAGAAUGAAGUCAAGACCAGGACAUUUCUUCAGACUACUACACAGACUAUUCUAGUGCUGUGCUUUGAAAGGAAAAGUAGAAAUGCAUAUUGGGAUAAAGCACAGCUCUUAUGACACGGACUAGAGAAUUCUCCAGAAGAGUGAUGCACUUGUUGCUAAGACAACCCACGAAACAUUCAGAUUUAUGGAACAUUAGACCAAUAACCCUAAGGUCCUAACUCUGCAGUGGGGUAGAACUUUUUCAGACAGCCACUGCCUCUGUGUAGACACACUGAUAUUUGCCUUAUAUUUCACUAACCGGACGGACACUUCUCAUGAAGAGAAGACUGAGCGUCUGACCCUGGCUGUAUUGCACAGAAAUUAGGCACAGUAAUCUCUCACUGAACAUGAAGAUCAUCAAUUUUAAAGACUGCUUGGCCAGCAAGCUCCAUUGAUGUACCUCUCUCUACAGAACAGAACUUAGGCUUCAAAGACAGCAAAGGAAAGUCACUAAAUAGUAAGGCAGAAUAAAACAUUCUGAUGGUGAGAGAAAUAGAUUUUCCCAGAGACUAACAUACUAAGUGAUUGUCCACUACAAAAUGGAAAACCAGAAAAACAUAUAUGCAGAGUGUAGAAUCUACGGCUGCUUGGCUUCAUUGAUACUGAUUUAAGAGCACUCUCAUGAGAAGGAGCAUAUAUAUGUCUGAGCAAAGUACCUCCUCGCUUGGUUGUCAGGAAGGAGAAGCGCUUAGCCUUAAAGACAGAAGCCUUGAAGAACUGUCUUCAGAGAGUAACCACCCAGCAGCAGAAUGAAACAGACACAGAGGCCCACGAUCAACCAUUGGAUAGAGCUCAGAAACUCUUAUGGAAGAGUUGUGGAAAGGACUGAUGGCUCCAAAAGUGACAGAAACCUCAUAGGAAGACCAUUAGAGUGAAAUAACUUGCAUUCUUGAGGCCUCUCAGAAACAAAUGAACCACCAACCAGAGACCAUACAUGGGUUUGACCUAGCCCCCCUACAUGUAUGUAGCAGAUGUGAAGCUUGGUCUUCACGUGGUCCACAAAGAACUGGAGCAGAGUUUCUUCCUUGAGCUGUUGCCUGUCUACGGGAUCUGUUCCCCUGAAAGAGCUAUCUUCUCUGGCCACAGUGGGAGAGAAUAUGCCUAACACUGCAAAACCUUAAUGUAGCCUUUUGGGGAGAUACUCAGGGGCACCUCUACUCUCUCAAAGAACAGGAGGAGAGAUGGGGAGAUCGACUGGUGGGGGGAUGAGGAGGGCGUACAGCAAUUGGCAUGUAAAGUGAAUAGAUAGACAGAUGAGAUAGAUUGUGGGGUGGUGAGCUGUGCACAGACAGCCUGGUCGAGCACGGGCCUUGAAUCCUGGUGACCUUAAGGGACAGCAGGUGUUUGGCCAUGCCUCCUGGGCCCCUGGCUCAUGGCCCAGCUACAAUCUCGCAAAGACUUC
rnacentral:lncRNA from 1 species